UACGUAGGGUGCGAGCGUUGUCCGGAAUUAUUGGGCGUAAAGAGCUCGUAGGCGGCUUGUCACGUCGGGUGUGAAAGCUCGGGGCUUAACCCCGAGUCUGCAUUCGAUACGGGCAGGCUAGAGUGUGGUAGGGGAGAUCGGAAUUCCUGGUGUAGCGGUGAAAUGCGCAGAUAUCAGGAGGAACACCGGUGGCGAAGGCGGAUCUCUGGGCCAUUACUGACGCUGAGGAGCGAAAGCGUGGGGAGCGAACAGG
rnacentral:rRNA from 1 species